UGUCGUCAGCUCGUGUUGUGAAAUGUUGGGUUAAGUCCCGCAACGAGCGCAACCCUUAUCCUUUGUUGCCAGCGGUCCGGCCGGGAACUCAAAGGAGACUGCCAGUGAUAAACUGGAGGAAGGUGGGGAUGACGUCAAGUCAUCAUGGCCCUUACGACCAGGGCUACACACGUGCUACAAUGGCGCAUACAAAGAGAAGCGACCUCGCGAGAGCAAGCGGACCUCAUAAAGUGCGUCGUAGUCCGGAUUGGAGUCUGCAACUCGACUCCAUGAAGUCGGAAUCGCUAGUAAUCGUGGAUCAGAAUGCCACGGUGAAUACGUUCCCGGGCCUUGUACACAC
rnacentral:rRNA from 1 species